rnacentral:rRNA from 1 species
AAUGAACGUUGGCGGCAUGGAUUAGGCAUGCAAGUCGAGCGAGAAGAGUUUUGAAGCUUGCUUUAGAACUCGGACAGCGGCGAAAGGGAGAGUAACGCGUAGUUAUGUGCCCUAGGGUCCGGAAUAGCCACGGGAAACUGUGGGUAAUGCCGGAUAAUAUCCCCGGAUCAAAGGUGUGAUUCCGCCCUAGGAGCAGACUGCGUCCUACUAGCUAGUUGGUGGGGUAAUGGCCCACCAAGGCAAUGAUGGGUAGCGGGUGUGAGAGCAUGACCCGUCUCACUGGGACUGAGACACUGCCCAGACACCUACGGGUGGCUGCAGUCGAGAAUCUUCGGCAAUGGGCGAAAGCCUGACCGAGCGAUGCCGCGUGCGGGAUGAAGGCCCUCGGGUUGUAAACCGCUGUCGUAGGGGAGGAAGGUUCCGUGAAGAGCGGGACUUGACCUAUCCUAGGAGGAAGUACGGGCUAAGUUCGUGCCAGCCGCCGCGGUAAAAC